UUGCAUAUAGGAAGUAUUACCUAUGUGCAAUCAAUGUAGCAUGUAGCA
rnacentral:sRNA from 1 species